ACGAACGCUGGCGGCGUGCCUAACACAUGCAAGUCGAGCGAGAAAGGGGGAGCAAUCCCCUGAGUAGAGCGGCGAACGGGUGAGUAACGCGUGGGCAAUCUGCCCUCCAGCCCGGGAUAACACCUCGAAAGGGGUGCUAAUACCGGAUGACAUCAGCCCGGCGCAUGCCGGGCUGAUCAAAGGCGGCCUCUGCAUGCAAGCUGUCACUGGGGGAUGAGCCUGCGUCCGAUUAGCUAGUUGGCGGGGUAACGGCCCACCAAGGCGACGAUCGGUAGCCGGCCUGAGAGGGUGACCGGCCACACUGGGACUGAGAUACGGCCCAGACUCCUACGGGAGGCAGCAGUGGGGAAUAUUGCGCAAUGGGCGAAAGCCUGACGCAGCGACGCCGUGUGGGGGAUGACGGCCUUCGGGUUGUAAACCCCUGUCGAGUGG
rnacentral:rRNA from 1 species